AAGGAAGUCUGUGCUUGGGGUCAUCAACUAUUUCUAUCAAGUUUAAGCUUUUGUUUAAAAAAAAGAGUCUGUCUAUGGGUACUUAAAUUAUCUGCCAAAACACAAAUUGUGAUGAAGCUACCAAUGUGAUGGUAUGAUUUAGUGUUGUACGUAACUUCAGUUCCUGUAUACUCGGUGUUCCCCCAUGUUUCAGAAGAAGGAAGAAGCCUUUUUAACUUUUCAUUGUUAUUUUUUUUUCAGAUUCCUGUCUUUCACAGUGUGUGUGUUUGAAAUUUCCAAAAGAACAGCAGACUUGCUCAAUGAAUGAGAUUUACCAAGUUCAAGAAGUGAAUUAGGUUCUCUCUGUUAAUUUUGAUACACUGAAUGGGCCCAGAAGGAUAAAAGUGCUAAUAUGCAUUUACGUGACUUAACAGUGUAUGAAGUUUGCAUUACCGAGGUUCAGUAUAAACACUCUUGGUGAAAUGGCAAACAGCUGCUUUAAAAAAGUAGGUUAAAAAAUUUAGUGUAACAGCCUAAAGCAUUUGUUAUUAAAUUAAGCUUUAAGAGCAUCCCUUUCCAUUACUUUCAAGAAGUUCUCUAAGAAACUUUUUCCUUGUCUUCCGUUAUCAGAUCACCAGUCUCUUAAAUGGUAUUUUAGAUAGCAAUUGCUGUAUUUUGGUGGGGAGAUUAGGAGAAGAGAUGAGCUGGAGCUAUUGAAGAUUGCAGCCUCCUUUAUGACAAGAUGCACCUUUAGCAGCGGGGAGAGAGAGAGAGAGAGAGAGAGGAAAGCUGCUCAUAUACAAUUUAGAAGUUCAAGUUGUCAUGAACUUGAACAGCUGUGUUGCUAAAAGGCUGUUGUAAGCUCGUGUCCUCAGAACAGUGUCAUAAAAGAUAGUCUUGAGUGGCCAAGCACAUUUUUUAAAGAGAAAGAAGAAAAAAAUAGGGAAAAAAAAACUGUAAGAGAGGAAAGAAGGUGGCAGGAGAAAUUCCAGUCUCGUAAUCUGCCUGACAUUCAUGUGGAAGAUUGCAGUGCUGUGCAGAUUAGGAUGAGUGUAAGACAUAGUUCUGGAAUCCCAGGUAAAGUAGUAAAUGUGAGACAGAGCCUCGGAUAUAAAGUUUUGUGCUUUCUAUUUAGAUACUAUCCUGAUUUCUGUUGGAUUAUAGCCUGUGAAAGGGAGUAAUCCAUAGAAUGACUCAUCUCCUUGUUACUCUGCAUACUAGAUGCAUCUAACUUGGGAUGUACCCCAAUUUUGGUUUUGGAUUUCAUUUCUCCCCUCCCCAGUAUAGUCUCAAUAUAGUCCCUGAUAAUACCAGUUAUUGUUUACAAGGCCUAAUGCAGUAUUUCUAUCUAUUUAAGACUUUUGUUUUUUAUAAUCCAUUGUUUGCCUAAAGCUGACCAGAAUUUUUCUAACUUCCUGCAACUUGAAGUAUAAAAUUCAGCAUUCAACAUGUGUCUUUUACUAGCUACAUGUUGUCUAGGCAAAUUAUAGCAGAGAACAAAAAAGGAAGAGCAGAAGAUGGAACUUCUGAGAAGAGACCACCGACUGAUGUGGAAAGUAUGAUUGAUUCAAGUUAUAGGGACAGUGUAAGCAAUGCUACUUGAAGGUCAUGUUAAUGACAGAGGAAAAGGAGUUAGUCCUAGCAAGGAUGUUGGUCUGUAGUGGAAAGGAAGUAAAGGUGGUAAAGAGCACAGACAUGAGUCUUGUGUGAUUUAGUGUUCUGUUCCAAUAGAAUAUUGGUAAUAUAAACUAAAUUUGUGACAUCUUUGGUGGAAAUUCUUAACAUUUGUAAGGUAGGCUUUUACUUAAGAAAUAGUAUUAGGUAACUUUCUGCUAAAUACAUUCUUAGAACAGUUACCAUUUAUUUGAUUUUUUUUUUUCUUCUUUUUCUGAGGGCUGGCUGUUUGUUGAAACAGGCUUGUAAUUGGGUGAGGCUCAAUUUGAUGGAAGAAGUCAUAUUCUUACUAGCCUAAUUGCAAAUAUAUCUAGAAAACAGACAAGUUUUUGGGUACUCUUUCUUUGGAGCUGAAAUAGAGCAGAAACUUUCAAGCUAACAUAAUCCUUGAGUAUUUCGGUCUCACUGUGCUAUAGCAAUAGGAAUGAGAAGAUGAAAAACUGCAAGCUGCUGUUUGUGGUGUAGUUUUGAUUAGCGUUGAAUAGGAGGGGGGGUUGAAAUCCUCUAGUGAAUCACAUUUCUACUCGUGCCACUGACUGAACUUUCUCUGACAUUUUGGGAGCUGAGAUUUCAUCCCUGUUCUCUGAUGUUUGAGGAGCCCUGUUACAGCUCUGUGGUUAGCUAUCUGUACUUCUGUUUUCUCUUCCAAAUGCGCUGUGUGUAAACUGCAUUCAGAAUGUUAUAUCUGUUAUUUCUAGACUAAUGGUUUCAAGAUGCCAGGGGGUGCAACAAUCUCAUUCAACUGUGUGGAUUCUUCUCUUUCAUCUUUGAAAAACUGCCAGUCUUACAUUAACACUGGAAUGGAUAUUGCUACUCGUGUUGCCCUUGACCUUGUGGAAAGUCUCAAUGAUGUAGAGGAGGUUAACAGUAUGGAAAACGUGAUGUUAGAAUAUGCUGCAAUGGACAGAGAACUUAAUCAUUAUAUGAGAGCAAUUGAAGAAACAGUCAGUCAGUUUGUCUUCAAUCAAAUAAUAAUGAUAAUGAAGGCAUUGAACAAAUCGAUGAAGAUAUAGCUGUGACUCAGAGUCAGAUGAACUUUAUUUGUCCCAUUACACAGAUGGAAAUGAAGAAGCCGGUUCGAAACAAAGUCUGUGGUCAUACCUAUGAAGAAGACGCCAUUCUAAAAAUUAUCCAGGCUCGAAAGCAGCAAAAGAAAAAAGUCCGCUGCCCUAAAAUUGGCUGUAGCCAUGCUGAUGUAAAAAGAUCAGAUCUUCUGCCAGAUGAAGCACUUAAAAGAGCGAUUGACAGUCAGAAUAAACAAAGCUGGUCAACACUGUAGAAGUCAGCUGGAUACGCUGUUGCCACAAAGAAAAUUUGUUAUUAGAGGUCUUGUGAGAUAAGCUGCUGAUUGUAAGCAGGUUGUGUAACUGAUUGUUAUUUAAAGUGUUUUCAUUUAUAGGCAAAGUUGAAGGUCUCAGCUGUAACUGAAAGCAUUUUUAAACUGCCAAAUAUGAAGAAUUCCAGUUUAACUUGUUUUUUUUUUCCCUUCCUGAAACUCUAAAAGCUUGCAUUUGACAAAUAAAAUGCGUUUUGCAGCAUUUAA